UUUUUUGCCGUCUGGUCAUCCUCGUCGGUCUUCUGCUUCUGGGUAUCGACAUCGUUAUCCUCAUCAUCUUCAGCUGCCCGCUUGCCCGUAGCUGACUCAGCUCCCUCAUCUUCAUCUCCAUCCUCUUCCUCACCAUCACCUUCUUCCUCCCCACCUUCUUCCUCUUCUUCAUCUACCUCGUUGUCAGCCUCCGGCUCCCCAUUUUCCUCAUUAGCAUUCCCGUGAGCAGGGGCGUCUCUUCCAUUUUCCGCCUCUUCCACAACUUCCUUCUUCUCCUUUAAGUCCUCGGUGGUGAUUUCGGAGCUGGUGUCUACGGCUGCGUCUGACAUGGUGGGGCACGCCGGUGACGCGAUGCAGGGGAUAAAAAAGAAAGCGACAGUUCAGGGACUCUGGCGAUAAAGCUGCCGGAGUCCGCGGCGGCGGAGGCGGCUGCGGCGAGCAAGGAGGCUGACGACGCACAAUGCAAAGACGGCUUUUCAGAGCAGCCAGUGGGGCAGGACAAUGUUUUUCAUCAAAUGUCCUUAGAUUUGGAGGAGGUUUCCCCAGUGUAUCCAGUGGUUGUCUUCCUCUUGAUUAAUAUUAAAGGAGGAGAAAAAGUGUGUAUUGGGGUCAGUGCAGAAAACAAAUCAUCCAAGCACACGAAGUGGAAUUUGCUAAUAGCAUUACUACUCACCCAGUGACUUCGGAGUCACAACCCAGGACACGGUUUUCCGCCCAUUUCUACAGACACAGUGAGAUUCUUCAUUCUUCUCUGUUGGAACAGCCAGGAAAGCGGAAGAGACCUCCAGCUGCACAACGACCUGUCCCCCACACCCAACCACAAGUUUAUGAAGGGAUGCAGAACAGCAUGAAUACUGCAAAAGAUGCUCUGUGCAUCAGAACGUCCAGAAGAGAGAGAUUUAAAUUGCUUUCAGCUAAGCUGUAGACCUCUAGCAGAUGAACGACAUAUUUUCCUGAAGGACUUGCUUCGGUGUGGAAGUGAUUCCGCUGUGAGUUGUGUCUUUUGCGUUGUUGCACUCUUCAUCAUAUUCAUCCGCAGGACCUCCAGCUCUAAAGGGUGUGAAGAGGAUACUGACCCACCAGAAAGAGACCCCACUGCUAGAACGAAUAAGAUGUGCUGAAAGCCGGAGCAUAACUUGGCCAUUCCCAAGAUUUAACAACAAACUAACUACCCAUCAUUAACAGUAAAGAAAGAAAACAAUCAGUAAGAGAUUAUAUAGACCUAAGAGAUGUUACAGACCGAAGAAGAACCUAUGGAGGAAGACAGGAAGAUGAGAGAGAUUUGAAGAUGGUAUGUGGCUGAAUUUGAAGAUAGAGAAAGGAACCGCAAGCAAAGAAUGCAAGAGGUCUCUAGAAGCUGGAAAAGGCAAGGAAAGAGUCUCCCCUCAAGCUCCAGCAGGAAUGCAGUCCUGACACCUUGAGUUUAGCCUAGUGAGACUUCUGACCUCCAGAACUAGAAGAUACAAGUGGUGUUUUAAGGCACUAAAACGAAGAACUAGAAGUAUUGUUUUAAGCCCAUAAAUUUGUGAUAAUCUGUUACAGUAGUAAUAGGCAAUGCAUACACAAGCACACAAAGUAAAAUUUUUCUGUGGUUAUUUUCCAUAUUUUUUCAGUUAUUUUCUGCCUUUUGAAGACAUUAAAGACAUAAAAUGAAUAUGUAUUAGUUUAGGAAUAAAAUUUAAAAUGUAGGAAUGCUAUAAAAGAAGAAAAAAUUUUAACUGGGCUAAAGCAAACCCAGUAUGUCAUCCUAUUACAUCAGCUUCUUCAUCUUUGGAUGAAGAGGUUGGUGACUGUUUCUUCUAAUGUGAGAAUAGCUCCAAAUUGCUAAAUUGUUCAGAAUUUGACAAGAUGAAAGAGGAAAGAAAAAGGAAAUCUUGAAAACAUUUACUGUUUCCUUGUUCAAUGGAUAACACAUGGAUUCCUGAUUGGGAGAUUUUUCCUCUUGCUUUGAUCUGAAGGCAGAAGGAAAUAUAUUCAUUAUUGUUUAAAAGAAUACAUUUUAACCUAACUUUAAAACAUUCAUGAUAUAUUUGUGAACCAUAAUCUUAUUACCCCAACCUAGAAGUUAUUUUGAUCACUAAACUUCCUUUUCAAUAUCUUCAUAUAUGUGUCUUUACAUACUUUAAAUAAAAAAUAUAUAAUUGUAUAACGUUUUAUUAUUUUAUUUAAUAUUUAUCACUUCUAAUAAAUAUAUGUAAAUAUGUAAACAGAAUUUAUGUAUUUUUUCAACAAACAUUUCAAACAUCUACCUUAUGCAAAGCAAUAUAUAGUGAAGGCAGAUAUAAAGUAUAAAUAAGUAUUCUCUAAUAUUGCCUCUAUUUUAAAAAAACUAAAUGUAUUGAGCAUUCUCUAUAUGCCAGGAACUGAACUAAGUAAUUUACUGUUAAUUUACACUAUAAUUCCAUGAAGUAGGUAUUAAUAUUAUCUCCAGGACUAAAGUGAGAUGAUUGACAUUUCUCUUUCCAGAUGAAAUUAGGUAAGUUAUCCAAGGUCAUGUAUCUAGGAAGCAAUAAAUCUAGGAAAUUCAAAUUUAUUGUUAAUUUUUCUAUUUUUUUAUGGAAUUAAGAAAAUGUUAUUUAUAGUUAAUGCUCUUAUACAGAAUUCCCUAUAUUUAACUUUUUCUUCUUAAAAUGACUUAUUUGAGUAACUAUGAGCCUUGGACAUUUUCAAUUUGGGGGCAUUCGUGGGAAUAUUGGCCUCAAAAGUAUCACUCCAAUUUAUAGUCUGCCUGUUAAUAUACCUUUUCCUUGCAAUCACACCAGUCAUGAGCUUUGUAAAAUAAUUAGAAUUGAAUAUUUUUCCAGAAGAUUGUUUAUAAGUUUUAUUUCCUUUUGAAUGAGUUCAUGGUUCUUAGCUUUUGCUUCUUUAUCUACUGAGUUCUAAGAAAACAUUUUCUCUUUGACUAAAAACAUUUUAUCCUAGGCUCUUUCCUCUCCUGCUCAAUAAGUUGCCAUUGGAACUCUGCAAGGAAAAAUUCUAAAAGUUUCAGUGGUGAAUAGAGCAUAAAUGAGAAAUUAAAGCAUUAAUAUUUGUUAGGAAGUAACUUCUCUUCUAGCACAAAAACAAUACAAAAUAUAUUAUUGUUAUCUUAUAAAUGGCAUUACUUAGACAGGAACCCAGCAAUUUUGGAGUCUACACAAUCAGAAGGAGCUACAGUGGGUCUUAUUCUUACCAAAUAGUAGAAGGUUAAUUCUUUUUCAUCCCUGAGAAUCUGUUUAUUCAGAAUGUAGUGUGCUUGAAUCUCCUGGGUUUGUCCACAGGUCAAAGUACCAAUAAUAGGUUUGAGGUGAAUAUAACUCUUGCUUGGGGAAAAAAAAUGCUUUGCAGUAUGAGAUGUUUGCGUAUGAAAUUCAUCAAGCCACCAGUUAUCAGAACAAUUGUUACUCUCUUUGUAUUUGACCUAAUGGAAGAAUAAAUAAGCUGUUUUAUAUAUAAUAUAUAUAUGAUUGCAAAAAUAUAUAAAAAUAUGCAUAUUAUAUAUGUUUGUAUAUAUAUACAUAAAGCAAUAUAAUAAAGCCAU
rnacentral:lncRNA from 1 species